CUGCUCAAUGAUUUUUUAAAUUGCUGUGGUAUUUUGGCUAUACAAAGGUAUUGUAAUAAGACUUUAAUUGAGUGCUAAAAGAAUGGAGUUUCAAAAAAAGUCUAUCUUGAAUUCAAAAAUUGAAUUUAUUUUUAUUUGUGAAGAAACAAUAAUUAAAAUUAAGGACAAGAAGACCCUAAGAAUUUUUAAUUUUGUAUAUAUAAAUAUAUAUAUAUACAAAAUUUUAAUUGGGGCGAUUAAAAAAUAUAGUUAACUUUUAAUUUUAAAAAAUGAUCCAUUAUUAGUGAUUUAAUGUAAAAAAUACUCUAGGGAUAACAGCGUAAUAAUUUUAGAUAGAUCUUAUAGAAAAAAUAGUUUGCGACCUCGAUGUUGGAUUAGGAUUCUUUUUUAAGAAGAAGUAAAAUAAGAAGUUGUUAAAUUUUAAAAAGA
rnacentral:rRNA from 1 species